GCAUGAGUGGUCUAGUGGUAAAAUAGGACCCUGCCACGGUAUAGACACGGGUUUGAUUCCCGGUUGGUGCU
rfam:Lupinus angustifolius cultivar Tanjil contig_9351, whole genome shotgun sequence.